rnacentral:tRNA from 1 species
GCGUCGAUGGUUCAGUGGUAGGAUGUUCGCCAACCAGGCAUGUGGUCUGGGGUUCAAUUCCCGAUCGAUGCA